rnacentral:rRNA from 1 species
GACGAACGCUGGCGGCGUGCUUAACACAUGCAAGUCGAACGAAGUGGCGAACGGGUGAGUAACGCGUCAUCAACCUGCACUUCAGAGGGGGACAACAGCUGGAAACGACUGCUAAUACCGCAUACUGAAGGAGGGGAUUGCGUCUGAUGAGCUAGUUGGAGGGGUAACGGCCCACCAAGGCGAUUAUCAGUAGCCUGUCUGAGAGGAUGAACAGCCACAUGUGCACGGCGACACGGCCCAGACUCCUACGGGAGGCAGCAGGUGGGAAUCUUCCGCAAUGGACGAAAGUCUGACGAAGCAACGCCGCGUGAGUGAUGACGGCCUUCGGGUUGUAAAGCUCUGUUAAUCGUGACUCGGUACCGGAAUAGAAAGCCAGGGCUAACUACGUGCCAGCAGCCGCGGUAAUAC